AGAGCGAGAGCGCAGUACCGAGCGAGUCCUCCGGUGAUCUCAGAGCGCUGCGUCUCUCCUCAACAAUCAAAAACUGAGAUUUGCUGAAAGAAAGAGAUUUUCCAGCGCGCUCAUCCACACAUCUGGCCCGCUUCUGCUGAGGAGAAAAGAAACACGCGCUGAAUGAACGCAGACCGUCUGGGCGUGAGUGACAUUGUCAGCACCGGUUCGCGGGAUUUCAGAGUCCACUGUGAAGAAGAUGAAUUGAUGGUGUGUUUUCUGAGUGACAGAGGCGCAGAUGGGCUUCAGCAUGACUUGCCUCUGGAUUUUAACUUUGGCCAUCAGUGUUCACAGAGUGUUCAGCGGCCCGCGGUUUUCUCAGGAGCCGGCGGAUCAGUCUGUGGUGGUCGGGGAGAGAGUGGUUCUGUCCUGCGUGGUGUUUAACUACACCGGCAUUGUACAGUGGACAAAAGACGGACUUGCUCUUGGCAUCGGAGAAGAUCUGAGGGCAUGGCCGCGGUACCGUGUUUUGCGUAUCCUGGAUGUUGGGCAGUAUAAUCUGGAGAUCACGUCAGCCGACCUGACCGAUGACUCACUGUACGAGUGUCAGGCCACUGAAGCCGCUCUGAGGUCCAGAAGAGCUAAACUCACUGUUCUGAUUCCCCCUGAAGGUCCUGUUAUCGAGGGCUCUCCAGAGAUCCUGUUGACGGCAGGAAGCUCAUAUAACCUCACCUGUGUGUCUCGAGGAGCAAAGCCACUGUCAACGAUAGAAUGGUACAAAGAUGGGAUCAUAGUGGAGGGAGCCCAUACCAGCACUGAGGUGUUAGCUGACAGGAAAAGGGUGACCACAAAGAGUUUUCUGGAGAUCCAACCAGUGGACACAGACACAGGACGAAAUUUUACCUGUGUGGCCUCAAAUCUGGCUGCCCCUCUGGGGAAGAGAGCCACUAUCACUCUCAACGUCCACCAUCCUCCUACAGUCAUUCUGUCCAUAGAGCCUCGGUCGGUUCUAGAAGGAGAGCGAGUUACAUUUACCUGCCAGGCCACUGCCAACCCGCCCAUUAUGGGCUAUAGGUGGGCUAAAGGGGGCGUGAUUCUGGACGGAGCAAGAGAAAGUGUGUUUGAGACGACAGCAGAUCACUCGUUCUUCACUGAGCCCGUGUCCUGCCUGGUCUUUAAUGCAGUGGGCAGCACUAACGUCAGUAUAUUGGUGGACGUUCACUUUGGUCCGAUUUUGGUGGUGGAGCCGAGGCCUGUGACAGUGGACGUCGACUCUGAUGUCACACUCAACUGCAAAUGGUCAGGAAAUCCUCCACUCACCCUCACAUGGACCAAGAAGGGCUCCAGUAUGGUUCUCAGUAAUAGUAAUCAGUUAUUUCUGAAGUCUGUGAGUCAGGCGGACGCAGGACAGUAUGUGUGUAAAGCCAUCGUCCCCAGAAUCGGCGUCGGUGAGACAGAGGUCACUCUUACAGUCAAUGGUCCUCCAAUCAUCUCGAGUGAGCCAAUCCAGUACGCCGUAAGAGGAGAGAAGGGGGAAAUCAAGUGCUACAUAGCCAGCACCCCUCCGCCGGACAAAAUCGUUUGGGCCUGGAAGGAGAAUGUGUGGGAAAAAGAGAGAGGGACGCUGUUGGAGAGGUACACAGUUGAGCAGAGCAGACCUGCAUCACAAGGGGGCGCCGUUCUGUCCACGCUCACUAUCAAUAAUGUCAUGGAGUCAGAUUUCCAGUCUACUUACAACUGCACGGCAUGGAACGCCUUUGGACCAGGAACCAUGAUCAUCACCCUGGAGGAGACAGAUAUAGUGCCUGUAGGUGUGAUAGCAGGUGGAUCUGUUGGAUCUUCCAUUUUGCUUCUGCUCCUCCUGUUUGCUCUGAUAUUCUAUCUGUAUCGACAACGCAAAGGCAGUCGUCGUGGAGUGACGCUGAAGCCAGACAUUAAGGUGGAAACGGUCAACAAGGAGACUCACAGUCUUGAGGAAGAGGCAGCCAGCGCUUCCACAGCCACGCGAAUGGUAAAGGCUAUGUAUUCUUUUCUUCCCUCUGUCUCCCUCUCUCCCUCCACCCAGCCCUUCAAAGAUGACAUGGACCUGAAGCAAGACCUCCAGAGCGACACGCUGGAAGCCAAGGUGGAGGAGUAUGAGCCCAAGGAUCCCACCAAUGGCUACUACAAUGUUCGAGCUACGACACAUGAUGAGGUCCGUGCCUCUACCCGCUCCCUGCUGUACCAGGAAUUCCGGCCACCGAAUCCUGCUUCAGUUUCAGCAUCAGCCGGCGGCCCAGUGGCUAACAUUCACCCCGCGCCUACGGGCCGUUACGAGCCCCGCCCCGCUUCCCGAAUGGCUCACAACACAUACGCCCAUUUUAACACCAUUGCCAGGGCGUCACAAAUCCAAGCCCCACCCAACCCUGUCUCCAAGACCACAGACUAUUCUGGAGACCGUGGCCUGCUGGAAUCAACCAAUCCUCUGGCUUUUGACAGCUACGCUUAUUCAACGACACCUCAAUACAGGUUAGGCUUUGCUCCACCUUUGGAGGCAGGACCAGCCUAUGAAAUGUAUCCUACGGGACAAGGGGUGGGGACAAGUCAAGACGCUAAUGUAGGAAAAUACCCCAGCUCCGCCCAAUUUCCAUAUUCGACCCCGCCCACAGAAUACUCUCAGAGACACACGCAGAGAAUGCAGACUCAUGUGUGAGACCAACACACUUUUCCUCACAAAAAAGCACUUCCGUGACGCAAAUAUAUGGUAUACAUGCUCAUUAUUACACAUUCUUACAGUCUGAAACUCUCUUUCUGACACAACUAUAUGCAAACACACACAAACACUUUGUUUUCUACCUUUACAACAACAUGACUGAAAGAAAAAAGUGCCAAAAUACUAAAUGACUGCAGCAGAAGAGGAAAACACAAGAGGUCACAGCGAUGAGAGGAGAGAAAGCAAGCCAAUGCCAUUGGUCAUAUCAUCUUUCCCUCUUCUUUCAAAAUUUUUGGAGGGGAUGAUGUGGCAAAUACAGUCCUCUAGAAUCUCUACCAGUGUCUACACCAAAAUGAGAUACUGCAACGCAGUUAUUGGAUGUUUUCUCCAAGUGAGUCAGUAUUGGCUGUUUUUUUUAAAGAAUGGCCAAUAAAAGGCUGGAGGGCACCAGAAACCAUCAACUACUGGGUGUAAAGCCCAGUGAAAGCCUGAUCUCUAUGCACUGGAGUUUACACUGGACCUGUCCCAUUACUCAACCUAAUAUGAUGUUUUAAAUUAUAGGAAUUGUAGGUGGGCUCACACUGAUUGUAUAAUCUACAAUGUGAUAUCGCAGAACAAGUCAGUCAGUUGAAGAAUACUGCAGGUGUCGACAAUCGCUUGUGAAAUAAUCCGCUCACCACUGCUCACACUGCCCGAGCUCCUCGUAGGAAUAGCUGUCCGCUGCCAGUUUGAACUCUUCUGAUAGGACGGAGAUGUGAGUAUCUGGGUAAAUGCCACCAGUGCUUUUAACUCUGAAAGCUGGAGUUUAUGUAACAUUUUAGGAUUUUUUAAACAAAUGGAUGCUACUCACAGAGUGUCAAAGUGAGCUUACAGACUCUUCUCUGAACACACGCUCUGCCUCCUUCCAAGAAAACCUCACGAGUAUUUGACGCUUUGUGUUUCUAUGUGUGUGAGAGAGAGUGUGUUUGCUUGUGAUGUGAAGGAAACAACUGAAUGUGAUGAAUCUCUUUCUCUGAAGUGUCCAUGUGUUUGUCCUUCACACUUUCAAAGUAGAGUGCUUUUCCAUAUUUGUAUCUGAACUAAAUUGCAUUUGAAAGCGCUUUUAUAGUAUUUUUCUAAGAUGGUGGUAAGGGGUCAGAGAUUGAAUGGUUUUGGUAAGCAAUGUAAAGGAGAAAAUUGUUUAAAAAGCAUUUUUUUAUGUUCAUGAUUUGUACAUUUGUCUAAAUUCUGGAAAGGGAUUUUGAAUCAGAUCAUAAGAGCAAGUUUAGAAUAACAUUAAAAUUUCUGUAAAAUCUCUUUUAUGCUAAAUAAAGAAGGGCUUUUAUUAUAUGAGCUCAGAAGCCUUGGCAACUUUUGCUCUGCAGAAAAGCUGAGUUUGUGCAGAAUAUGUUUCUGCUGUUGAGUUUAAAUAUGGCUUGAUUUAGGCUUACUCUAAUGAAAUUUACAGGACUUGACCCUUGGUCUAUAUUAAACAAUUUUGAACGUUCAAAAUAUGCAAUGAUCAAUACAGUUUUGUUCAACAAAUUAGCAACUCUAAUUGGUUUUGUCAAAAAUAAAGCAGAAAUUUUACAGUGAAUUGGUUUACAGGAGCUGCUCUGUUUAAAAAAAAAGUUUGCAGGUGCAGUUAUGAAAUGGGUUUUCAUUAACCAUGUUAGGUCUCUUGAUGAUUUUGAAACUUUUUUGGCAGCUUUAUGUAUGAAGAGAAGAUGAAUUUGACAAUGAUCAAAUUCACAUAUCAGAGAUGGAAAGAUAAGCGAAUGAAUGUGCAAUACUGUGUUUAUAGUGUGUGAAUAUGAGAGCAUGUUUCAGUGUGACUCUUGAAAAAUUCAUUUGUUCAUGCUCCUGUUAAAAAAAAGACCUGUACUUCAUAUUGUUUAAUAUUAACUCUUUUUUUCAUUUAUGUUUUUUUCAUCUUUUAAAAAUGUAAAAUAAAAAAAGAAAAAUAUGACCCAUGCGUUUUCCCACAGCAACUUUUACGCAAUGGUUUUUUUAAUUGUAUGUGGUUAUCUUUCCACAGUAAUAUCAAAUAAAAACAUUUAAUAGUAACUCAUUGUCAUACAGUACAGGGGGGGGGGGGGGGAAUUACAAUCUAAUUAUAUCUGGAUAUAAAGUAUACAGGUGCAUCUCAAUAAAUUAGAAUAUCAUGAAAAAGUUUUUUUUUUUUUUUUUUCCUGUAAUUUUAUUCAAAAAGUAAAACUUAAAUAUAUUCUAGAUUUAUUAGACAUAAAGUAAAAUAUUUCCAGACAUUUUUGUUUUAAUUUUGAUGAUUACAGCUUGCUGCUCAUCAAAAUCAAAAAAUCAGUAUCUCAAAUUGUUAGAAUAUUUAAUUUCAAGUUCUAUUAAAUUACCAUUCUCAGGGUAUAAAUACUGGGUUUAGGUCAGUAAUCCCAACAGCAGUCAUGUGGAAGUCUGCUGACAGUUGUCCAGAAGACGAUCAUCAAGACCCUCUACAGUGAGGGUAAGCCACAGAGGGGCAUUGCUGAAAGAGCUGGCUAUUCGCAGAGUGCUGUGCCAAAGCAUAUUCAUGGAAAGUUGACUGGAAGGA